GCGGCGGACGGGUGAGUAAUACUUAGGAAUCUACCUAGUAGUGGGGGAUAGCACGGGGAAACUCGUAUUAAUACCGCAUACGACCUACGGGAGAAAGGGGGCAGUUUACUGCUCUCGCUAUUAGAUGAGCCUAAGUCGGAUUAGCUAGAUGGUGGGGUAAAGGCCUACCAUGGCGACGAUCUGUAGCUGGUCUGAGAGGAUGAUCAGCCACACCGGGACUGAGACACGGCCCGGACUCCUACGGGAGGCAGCAGUGGGGAAUAUUGGACAAUGGGGGAAACCCUGAUCCAGCCAUGCCGCGUGUGUGAAGAAGGCCUUUUGGUUGUAAAGCACUUUAAGCAGUGAAGAAGACUCUGUGGUUAAUACCCACAGACGAUGACAUUAGCUGCAGAAUAAGCACCGGCUAACUCUGUGCCAGCAGCCGCGGUAAUACAGAGGGUGCAAGCGUUAAUCGGAAUUACUGGGCGUAAAGGGAGCGUAGGUGGCUCGAUAAGUCAGAUGUGAAAUCCCCGGGCUCAACCUGGGAACUGCAUCUGAUACUGUCGUGCUAGAGUAUGUGAGAGGAAGGUAGAAUUCCAGGUGUAGCGGUGAAAUGCGUAGAGAUCUGGAGGAAUACCGAUGGCGAAGGCAGCCUUCUGGCAUAAUACUGACACUGAGGCUCGAAAGCGUGGGUAGCAAACAGGAUUAGAUACCCUGGUAGUCCACGCCGUAAACGAUGUCUACUAGUCGUUGGGUCCCUUGAGGACUUAGUGACGCAGCUAACGCAAUAAGUAGACCGCCUGGGGAGUACGGCCGCAAGGUUAAAACUCAAAUGAAUUGACGGGGGCCCGCACAAGCGGUGGAGCAUGUGGUUUAAUUCGAUGCAACGCGAAGAACCUUACCUGGUCUUGACAUAUCUAGAAUCCUGCAGAGAUGCGGGAGUGCCUUCGGGAAUUAGAAUACAGGUGCUGC
rnacentral:rRNA from 1 species